UACGGAGGGUGCAAGCGUUAUCCGGAAUCAUUGGGUUUAAAGGGUCCGUAGGCGGAUUAAUAAGUCAGGGGUGAAAUCCCACAGCUUAACUGUGGAACUGCCUUUGAUACUGUUAGUCUUGAGUUAUAUGGAAGUAGAUAGAAUGUGUAGUGUAGCGGUGAAAUGCAUAGAUAUUACACAGAAUACCGAUUGCGAAGGCAGUCUACUACGUAUAUACUGACGCUAAUGGACGAAAGCGUGGGGAGCGAACAGG
rnacentral:rRNA from 1 species